GUCGAGCGAGAACCGGGGCUUCGGCCCCGGGGACAGCGGCGAACGGGUGAGUAACACGUGGAUAACCUGCCCUCGGCACCGGGAUAGCCCGGGGAAACUCGGAUUAAUACCGGAUGGCCCUUCCGACCUUCGGGUCGGUCGGGAAAGGUAGCUUCGGCCUCUGGCCGGGGAUGGGUCCGCGGCGGAUUAGCUUGUUGGUGGGGUAACGGCCCACCAAGGCGACGAUCCGUAGCUGGUCUGAGAGGACGAUCAGCCACACUGGGACUGAGACACGGCCCAGACUCCUACGGGAGGCAGCAGUGGGGAAUCUUGCGCAAUGGGCGAAAGCCUGACGCAGCGACGCCGCGUGAGGGAAGACGGCCUUCGGGUUGUAAACCUCUUUCAGGAGGGACGAAGCUACUCGGGUGAAUAGCCCAGAGGGUGACGGUACCUCCAGAAGAAGCCCCGGCUAACUACGUGCCAGCAGCCGCGGUAAUACGUAGGGGGCAAGCGUUGUCCGGAUUUACUGGGCGUAAAGAGCGUGUAGGCGGCCAGACAGGUCUGUUGUGAAAACUGGAGGCUCAGCCUCCAGACGUCGACUGAAACCGUCUGGCUAGAGUCCGGAAGAGGAGAGUGGAAUUCCUGGUGUAGCGGUGAAAUGCGCAGAUAUCAGGAAGAACACCAAUGGCGAAGGCAGCUCUCUGGGACGGUACUGACGCUAGACGCGAAAGCGUGGGGAGCGAACAGGAUUAGAUACCCUGGUAGUCCACGCCGUAACGAUGGGUGCUAGGUGUGGGAGGUGUCGACUCCUUCCGUGCCCAGCUAACGCAUAAGCACCCCGCCUGGGGAGUAGGCCGCAGGCUAAACUCAAAGGAUUGACGGGG
rnacentral:rRNA from 1 species